GAUGAACGCUGGCGGCGUGCUUAACACAUGCAAGUCGAGCGAGAAGUUUUGAAAAGAUUCUUCGGAUGAAAUUUAAAAUGGAAAGCGGCGGACGGGUGAGUAACGCGUAGGCAACCUGCCCCAUACAAAGGGAUAGCAUUUGGAAACGAAUAUUAAUACCUUAUGAAACUUAACUAGUGCAUGCUAGGUAGGUCAAAGAUUUAUCGGUAUGGGAUGGGCCUGCGUCUGAUUAGCUAGUUGGUGAGGUAACGGCUCACCAAGGCGACGAUCAGUAGCCGACCUGAGAGGGUGAACGGCCACAUUGGAACUGAGACACGGUCCAAACUCCUACGGGAGGCAGCAGUGGGGAAUAUUGCACAAUGGGGGAAACCCUGAUGCAGCAACGCCGCGUGAACGAUGAAGGCCUUUGGGUCGUAAAGUUCUGUUCUAGGUGA
rnacentral:rRNA from 1 species